UUGUCUCAAAGAUUAAGCCAUGCAUGUCUCAGUACAAGCCGAAUUAAGGUGAAACCGCGAAAGGCUCAUUAAAUCAGUUAUGGUUCCUUAGAUCGUACCAACAUUUACUUGGAUAACUGUGGUAAUUCUAGAGCUAAUACAUGCAAACAGAGCUCCGACCGGAGACGGAAGGAGCGCUUUUAUUAGAUCAAAACCAAUCGGUGGCGGUUGCUUCGCGUGACCGCCAUCGUUCGCCCUGGCGAAUCUGAAUAACUUUACGCCGAUCGCACGGUCUCGCACCGGCGACGCAUCUUUCAAAUGUCUGCCUUAUCAACUGUCGAUGGUAGGUUCCGUGCCUACCAUGGUCGUAACGGGUAACGGGGAAUCAGGGUUCGAUUCCGGAGAGGGAGCCUGAGAAACGGCUACCACAUCCAAGGAAGGCAGCAGGCGCGCAAAUUACCCACUCCCGGCACGGGGAGGUAGUGACGAAAAAUAACGAUACGGGACUCAUCCGAGGCCCCGUAAUCGGAAUGAGCACACUCUAAACCCUUUAACGAGGAUCAAUUGGAGGGCAAGUCUGGUGCCAGCAGCCGCGGUAAUUCCAGCUCCAAUAGCGUAUAUUAAAGUUGUUGCGGUUAAAAAGCUCGUAGUCGAAUCUGUGUCCCGCGCCGCCGGUUCAUCGCUCGCGGUGUUUAACUGGCGUGUUUCCGCGGGACGUCCUGCCGGUGGGCUUAGCCCGCGAGGGCGGCCCAACUUGCGAAUCCCGCCGCGGUGCUCUUCGCUGAGUGUCGAGGCGGGCCGGCACGUUUACUUUGAACAAAUUAGAGUGCUUAAAGCAGGCUAAAACUUCGCCUGAAUACCGUGUGCAUGGAAUAAUGGAAUAGGACCUCGGUUCUAUUUUGUUGGUUUUCGGAACCCCGAGGUAAUGAUUAAUAGGAACGGAUGGGGGCAUUCGUAUUGCGACGUUAGAGGUGAAAUUCUUGGAUCGUCGCAAGACGGACGGAAGCGAAAGCAUUUGCCAAAAAC
rnacentral:rRNA from 1 species